rnacentral:rRNA from 1 species
GACGAACGCUGGCGGCGUGCUUAACACAUGCAAGUCGAACGGAAAGGCCCUGCUUUUGUGGGGUGCUCGAGUGGCGAACGGGUGAGUAACACGUGAGUAACCUGCCCUUGACUUUGGGAUAACUUCAGGAAACUGGGGCUAAUACCGGAUAGGAGCUCCUGCUGCAUGGUGGGGGUUGGAAAGUUUCGGCGGUUGGGGAUGGACUCGCGGCUUAUCAGCUUGUUGGUGGGGUAGUGGCUUACCAAGGCUUUGACGGGUAGCCGGCCUGAGAGGGUGACCGGCCACAUUGGGACUGAGAUACGACCCAGACUCCUACCGGAGGCAGCAGUGCUGAAUAUUUCACAAUGGGCGGAAGCCUGAUGCAGCAACGCCGCGUGCGGGAUGACGGCCUUCGGGUUGUAAACCGCUUUCGCCUGUGACGAAGCGUGAGUGACGGUAAUGGGUAAAGAAGCACCGGCUAACUACGUG